UUAUACUGAUGCUUUUUAUAUCUCGUGUAUGAUCUAUAAAGUAUUUUUAUCCUGCCAGUCAAUUUAUCCUAGCUCUAGGCUUACAGUAUGGUUAUAGUUGAUUUAUCUGUGGACUUUAAAUAAUGAUGAUGGUUUUCAUGUUGCAUAGAAAUUGACAAAUUGGAUACUCUGAUAGUCUGAUGACAGCUUUUAUUUCAGCAAGCCAAUAUAUACAAAAGCAUCUGUUGCUGGAGGGCUGGUGGCGGUACUGGAGCUGGUGCGGGUGCGGAUGGGGGUCAUGGAGGUAAAUGGGGUAGGCAAGCUUUCCGUUCAUAGGUGCUAGCACCGCAUCGACUCCAUAAUCCCACUCGAGAAAAGUCUGUGCAGCCAGCCUGUAGAUAUAAAAUAAUCUCAAAAGGUGUGCUUGGGCUUAGAUUUUCAGAAACCUAUCACAAGCAUGCCUGAUUAUUUAUUCUUAUGCCUUUCAUCAACACUGUAAGGUUCUAAUAGAGGAAGGAGUCAAGUUGACUGUGAACAGGUAUGAAGACGAUUAGGCAUAAAGUUGAUUGCAUUUUCUGCAAGUUUUUUGAAGCAGUUUUACAUGUUCUCAUGAAAACAAUUUAUUGAGUUGCAUGCACCGACCAGUUCAACCCAAAAGCUUAAGCUGAUGGGGAGAGGUGGGCAAUUCACCUAUAUUCCAACACUCUCCCUCACGUGGAGGCUCCCUCAGGCCUCAGACGUGGAAUAGGAGCGAGCAGCAAUUAUUUUAUUUAAUUGCGCUAACUAGGAUUCGAACUUGAAACCUCUGGUUCUGAUACCAUAUUGAGUUGCAUGCACCGACCAGUUCAACCCAAAAGCUUAAGCUGAUGGGGAGAUGUGGGCAAUUCACCUAUAUUCCAACA